AACUUAUCAAGAGUGAUACUAGGGACCGGCCCGUUUUGAGUAUCCAGCAACCUGUAUUAACAAGGUGCUAAUUCCGGCAUGUGAAUGCGAAGAUAAGAA
rnacentral:ncRNA from 2 species